AACGCACGAGACCUGCGGACCUGCGGAGGGAUCAUUAAUGAGUUGCAAAACUCCCUAAACCAUUGUGAACCUACCUGUACCGUUCCUUCGGCGGGCGGCGUCAAGCCCUAACCCGUCUCCCUUUACGGGGGAUGGACCCGCCGGAGGCUCCUAAACUCUUAACUUUUGUUGGCAUCUCUGAGUAAAUCAAAAUAAGUCAAAACUUUCAACAAUGGAUCUCU
rnacentral:misc_RNA from 1 species